CAGCCAGAGAUAAAGAAUUGGCUGACAGAGGAAGAAGAGUGGCUGGGAGAGGGGGAGGAGUACGUAUGCGUGGAGGAAGAAGACGGAGAGGAAGAUCAAGAGCUGUAGUCUCAGAUGAGAUUAGAGCUACUAUAAUUGAUCAUAUAAUAAAUCAUGAUCUAUCAAUGAGAGAGGCUGGUCUGAGUGUGCACCCAAAUCUGCAACGCUCAACAGUGGCAUCUAUUUUGAGAAAUUUCCGGCAAAACAACAGGACCCAACGGUUACUUCCUACACACGGGAGAGGUAGGAUUUUCACUGCUGUGCAGGAAACUGCAAUCGUUGAUGUGGUCAUCAGAAACAAUGGCAUAAAGCUCACAGAGAUUCGGGAGGAGUGUUGGCAGACAAUGACAACAACCCAGAGGAGAGUGAUGGAGUGCUGCAUCAGAUGACCUGGCCUCCAAAAUCACCUGACCUCAACCCAAUUGAGAUUUGGGAUGAGUUGGAGUGAAGGAGAAGCAGCCAACAAGUGCUCAGCAUAUGUGGGAACUCCUUCAAGAAUGUUGAUUUGUUUAACACUUUUUUGGUUACUACAUAAUUCCAUAUGUGUUAUUUCAUAGUUUUGAUGCCUUCACUAUUAUUCUACAAUGUAGAAAAUAGUGCAAAUAAAGAAAAA